rnacentral:pre_miRNA from 1 species
GAAAUACUCCCUCCAUCCCAAAAUUCUUGUCUUAAAUUUGUCUAAAUACGGAUGUAUCAAGUCAUGUUUUGGUAUUAGAUACAUCUGUAUCUAGACUAAUAUAAGACAAGAAUUUUUGGAUGGAGGGAGUAUAAG